rnacentral:rRNA from 1 species
GAUGAACGCUGGCGGCGUGCCUAAUACAUGCAAGUCGAGCGAAUGGAUUAAGAGCUUGCUCUUAUGAAGUUAGCGGCGGACGGGUGAGUAACACGUGGGUAACCUGCCCAUAAGACUGGGAUAACUCCGGGAAACCGGGGCUAAUACCGGAUAACAUUUUGAACCGCAUGGUUCGAAAUUGAAAGGCGGCUUCGGCUGUCACUUAUGGAUGGACCCGCGUCGCAUUAGCUAGUUGGCGAGGUAACGGCUCACCAAGGCAACGAUGCGUAGCCGACCUGAGAGGGUGAUCGGCCACACUGGGACUGAGACACGGCCCAGACUCCUACGGGAGGCAGCAGUAGGGAAUCUUCCGCAAUGGACAAAAGUCUGACGGAGCAACGCCGCGUGAGUGAUGAAGGCUUUCGGGUCGUAAAACUCUGUUGUUAGGGAAGAACAAGUGCUAGUUGAAUAAGCUGGCACCUUGACGGUACCUAACCAGAAAGCCACGGCUAACUACGUGCCAGCCGCCGCGGUAA